CCUACGGGAGGCAGCAGUGAGGAAUAUUGGUCAAUGGCCGGAAGGCUGAACCAGCCAAGCCGCGUGAAGGACGAAGGUGCCAAGCAUUGUAAACUUCUUUUGUCAAGGGACAAAAUCAGGCUCGAGAGCCUGACCGAGGGUACUUGAAGAAAAAGCAUCGGCUAACUCCGUGCCAGCAGCCGCGGUAAUACGGAGGAUGCGAGCGUUAUCCGGAUUUAUUGGGUUUAAAGGGUGCGUAGGCGGACUGUUAAGUCAGCGGUAAAAGCCCGGGGCUCAACCCCGGCGAGCCGUUGAAUCUGGCUGUCUAGAGAGAGCGAGAGGUAUGCGGAAUGCGCAGUGUAGCGGUGAAAUGCUUAGAUAUUGCGCAGAACUCCGAUGGCGAAGGCAGCAUACCGGCGGCGAUCUGACGCUGAGGCACGAAAGCGUGGGUAUCGAACAGGAUUAGAUACCCUAGUAGUC
rnacentral:rRNA from 1 species